rnacentral:rRNA from 2 species
GACGAACGCUGGCGGCGUGCCUAAUACAUGCAAGUCGAACGAACUCUGGUAUUGAUUGGUGCUUGCAUCAUGAUUUACAUUUGAGUGAGUGGCGAACUGGUGAGUAACACGUGGGAAACCUGCCCAGAAGCGGGGGAUAACACCUGGAAACAGAUGCUAAUACCGCAUAACAACUUGGACCGCAUGGUCCGAGUUUGAAAGAUGGCUUCGGCUAUCACUUUUGGAUGGUCCCGCGGCGUAUUAGCUAGAUGGUGGGGUAACGGCUCACCAUGGCAAUGAUACGUAGCCGACCUGAGAGGGUAAUCGGCCACAUUGGGACUGAGACACGGCCCAAACUCCUACGGGAGGCAGCAGUAGGGAAUCUUCCACAAUGGACGAAAGUCUGAUGGAGCAACGCCGCGUGAGUGAAGAAGGGUUUCGGCUCGUAAAACUCUGUUGUUAAAGAAGAACAUAUCUGAGAGUAACUGUUCAGGUAUUGACGGUAUUUAACCAGAAAGCCACGGCUAACUACGUGCCAGCAGCCGCGGUAAUACGUAGGUGGCAAGCGUUGUCCGGAUUUAUUGGGCGUAAAGCGAGCGCAGGCGGUUUUUUAAGUCUGAUGUGAAAGCCUUCGGCUCAACCGAAGAAGUGCAUCGGAAACUGGGAAACUUGAGUGCAGAAGAGGACAGUGGAACUCCAUGUGUAGCGGUGAAAUGCGUAGAUAUAUGGAAGAACACCAGUGGCGAAGGCGGCUGUCUGGUCUGUAACUGACGCUGAGGCUCGAAAGUAUGGGUAGCAAACAGGAUUAGAUACCCUGGUAGUCCAUACCGUAAACGAUGAAUGCUAAGUGUUGGAGGGUUUCCGCCCUUCAGUGCUGCAGCUAACGCAUUAAGCAUUCCGCCUGGGGAGUACGGCCGCAAGGCUGAAGCUCAAAGGAAUUGACGGGGGCCCGCACAAGCGGUGGAGCAUGUGGUUCAAUUCGAAGCUACGCGAAGAACCUUACCAGGUCUUGACAUACUAUGCAAAUCUAAGAGAUUAGACGUUCCCUUCGGGGACAUGGAUACAGGUGGUGCAUGGUUGUCGUCAGCUCGUGUCGUGAGAUGUUGGGUUAAGUCACGCAACGAGCGCAACCCUUAUUAUCAGUUGCCAGCAUUAAGUUGGGCACUCUGGUGAGACUGCCGGUGACAAACCGGAGGAAGGUGGGGAUGACGUCAAAUCAUCAUGCCCCUUAUGACCUGGGCUACACACGUGCUACAAUGGAUGGUACAACGAGUUGCGAACUCGCGAGAGUAAGCUAAUCUCUUAAAGCCAUUCUCAGUUCGGAUUGUAGGCUGCAACUCGCCUACAUGAAGUCGGAAUCGCUAGUAAUCGCGGAUCAGCAUGCCGCGGUGAAUACGUUCCCGGGCCUUGUACACACCGCCCGUCACACCAUGAGAGUUUGUAACACCCAAAGUCGGUGGGGUAACCUUUUAGGAACCAGCCGCCUAAGGUGGGACAGAUGAUUAGGGUG